rnacentral:lncRNA from 1 species
UUGCCAGAUAUCUUCAUUUUUAACCAUCUACCCUGCAUACUUUGAGGAAGACUGGCACAGACCCUAUGGACCGCCUUCUAGAAGGACAGAAAGCUUGGAUAGAAAAAACGUUUUGCAAACGAGAGUGUAUCUUUGUAAUUCCCAGCACUAAAGACCCUAACAGGUGUUGUUGUGGCCAGCUCACCAACCAGCAUAUCCCCCCACUGCCUGGUAUAACAUCUGGCAAAAAUGAAGAGGAGAAUAAACAGGUGGAGACUCUGCCCGAAAAAUGGUCUGUCAGCAAACACACCCAGAGCUACCCAACAGAUUCCUAUGGAACUCUUGAAUUCCAGGGUGGCGGAUACUCCAAUAAAGCCAUGUAUAUCCGAGUAUCCUAUGACACCAAGCCAGAUUCACUGCUUCAUCUUAUGGUGAAAGAUUGGCAGCUGGAACUCCCCAAGCUCUUAAUAUCUGUGCAUGGAGGCCUCCAGAACUUUGAGAUGCAGCCCAAGCUGAAACAGGUCUUUGGGAAAGGUCUGAUCAAGGCUGCCAUGACCACUGGGGCCUGGAUCUUCACUGGAGGCGUCAGUACUGGUGUUAUCAGCCAUGUAGGGGAUGCCUUAAAAGAUCACUCUUCUAAGUCCAGAGGCCGGGUUUGUGCUAUAGGAAUUGCUCCUUGGGGCAUCGUGGAAAAUAAGGAAGACCUGAUUGGAAAGGAUGUAACAAGAGUGUACCAGACCAUGUCCAACCCCCUAAGCAAGCUCUCAUUGCUCAACAACUCGCACACCCAUUUCAUCCUGGCUGACAAUGGUACCCUGGGCAAAUACGGUGCCGAGGUGAAGCUGCGGAGGCAGCUAGAAAAACACAUCUCUCUACAGAAGAUUAACACAAGACUGGGGCAGGGUGUGCCCGUCGUGGGCCUGGUGGUGGAAGGAGCCUCAGACAUUCUGUCUUUUGCACACAAGUAUUGUGAAGAAGGAGGAGUAAUAAAUGAAUCCCUCAAGGAUCAGCUUCUAGUUACCAUUCAGAAAACAUUUAAUUACAACAAGACACAAUCACAUCAGCUGUUUGCAAUUAUAAUGGAGUGCAUGAAAAAGAAAGAACUUGUCACUGUGUUUAGAAUGGGUGCCGAAGGUCAGCAGGACAUUGAGAUGUCUAUUUUAACUGCCCUGUUGAAAGGAACAAAUGCAUCGGCUCCAGACCAGCUGAGCUUGGCACUGGCUUGGAACCGGGUCGACAUAGCACGAAGCCAGAUCUUUGUCUUUGGGCCCCACUGGCCGCCCCUGGGAAGCCUGGCACCCCCGACGGAUAGCAAAGUCACAGAGAAGGAAAAGAAGCCCCCAACAGCAACUACCAAGGGGGGAAGGGGAAAAGGAAAAGGCAAGAAGAAAGGGAAAGUGAAAGAGGAGGUGGAGGAAGAAACAGACCCCCGGAAGAUUGAGCUGCUGAACUGGGUAAAUGCUCUGGAACAAGCCAUGCUGGAUGCUUUAGUCUUAGAUCGAGUGGACUUUGUGAAGCUCCUGAUUGAAAAUGGAGUGAAUAUGCAACACUUUCUCACCAUUCCAAGACUGGAAGAGCUUUACAACACAAGGCUGGGUCCACCAAACACACUUCAUUUGCUGGUGAGAGAUGUAAAAAAGGGCAACUUGCCACCUGAUUACCACAUCAGCCUAAUCGACAUAGGGCUUGUGCUGGAGUACCUCAUGGGCGGGGCGUAUCGCUGCAAUUAUACUCGGAAGAGCUUUCGGACCCUUUAUAACAACUUGUUUGGACCUAAGAGGGUAGAACAAAGUGAACUUGAUGAUGAGCCUCCAGCCAAAGGGAAGAAGAAGAAAAAGAAGAAAAAGGAGGAAGAGAUUGACAUUGAUGUAGAUGACCCUGCUGUGAGUCGGUUCCAGUAUCCCUUCCAUGAGCUGAUGGUGUGGGCUGUGCUGAUGAAGCGCCAGAAAAUGGCAGUCUUCCUCUGGCAGCGAGGAGAGGAGAGCAUGGCCAAAGCACUGGUGGCCUGUAAGCUCUACAAGUCCAUGGCCCAUGAAUCCUCCGAGAGUGAGCUGGUGGAUGAUAUCUCCCAGGAUUUGGACAACAACUCAAAAGACUUUGGCCAGCUUGCCGUGGAGUUGUUAGAUCAGUCCUAUAAGCAUGAUGAGCAGAUUGCCAUGAAACUGCUGACUUAUGAGCUGAAGAAUUGGAGCAACUCCACAUGCCUCAAGCUGGCAGUGGCCGCCAAGCACCGGGACUUCAUCGCUCACACCUGCAGCCAGAUGCUGCUGACUGACAUGUGGAUGGGAAGGCUGAGAAUGAGGAAAAACCCCGGCCUAAAAGUUAUAAUGGGGAUUCUUCUUCCCCCUACCAUCUUGUUUUUGGAGUUUCGCACAUAUGAUGACUUCUCUUAUCAGACAUCCAAGGAGAAUGAAGAUGGUAAAGAGAAAGAAGAGGAGAAUAUGGAUGCAAAUGCAGACGCUGGUUCAAGAAAGGGUGAUGAGGAGAAUGAGCACAAAAAGCAAAGAAGCAUUCCCAUUGGAAUGAAAAUCUGUGAAUUCUAUAACGCUCCCAUUGUCAAGUUCUGGUUUUACACGAUAUCGUACUUGGGCUACCUACUGCUCUUCAACUAUGUCAUCCUGGUGCGGAUGGACCGCUGGCCCUGUCUCCAGGAGUGGAUUGUCAUCUCCUACAUCCUGACCCUAGCAUUGGAGAAAAUACGAGAGAUCCUCAUGUCAGAACCAGGCAAACUCAGCCAGAAAAUAAAAGUUUGGCUUCAGGAGUACUGGAACAUCACGGAUCUUGUAGCCAUUUCCAUGUUCAUGAUUGGAGCAAUCCUCCGCCUACAGAAGCAGCCAUACAUGGGCUAUGGCCGAGUGAUCUACUGUGUGGAUAUCAUCUUCUGGUAUAUCCGAGUCCUGGACAUUUUUGGUGUCAACAAAUAUCUGGGGCCCUAUGUGAUGAUGAUUGGAAAGAUGAUGAUUGACAUGCUGUAUUUUGUGGUCAUUAUGCUGGUUGUGCUGAUGAGUUUUGGAGUAGCCCGUCAAGCCAUUUUGCACCCAGAUGAGGAGCCGUCUUGGAAACUGGCCCGAAACAUCUUCUACAUGCCCUACUGGAUGAUCUAUGGAGAGGUGUUUGCAGACCAGAUAGACCUCUACGCCAUGGAAAUUAAUCCUCCUUGUGGUGACAACCAGUAUGAUGAAGAAGGCAAGCGGCUCCCGCCCUGUAUCCCGGGUGCCUGGCUCACACCUGCCAUCAUGGCGUGCUACCUACUGGUGGCCAACAUCCUGCUUGUGAACUUGCUUAUUGCAGUUUUCAACAAUACCUUCUUUGAAGUUAAGUCAAUAUCCAACCAGGUGUGGAAAUUCCAGCGUUAUCAGCUGAUAAUGACAUUUCAUGACCGGCCAGUCCUACCUCCACCGAUGAUCAUUUUAAGCCACAUCUAUAUAAUCAUUAUGCGUCUUAGUGGUCGCUGUAGGAAAAAAAGAGAAGGGGAUCAAGAUGAGCAGGAUCGUGGUCUAAAGCUGUUUCUCAGCGAUGAGGAGCUGAAGAGGCUGCACGAGUUCGAGGAGCAGUGUGUUCAGGAGCACUUCCAGGAGAAGGAGGAUGAGCAGCAGUCGUCCAGCGAUGAGCGCAUCCGCGUCACUUGUGAGAGGUUUGAAAACAUGUCAAUGAGAUUGGAAGAAAUCAACGAAAGAGAAAAUUUUAUGAAGACGUCCCUACAGACUGUUGACCUUCGACUUUCUCAACUGGAAGAACUGUCUAACAGAAUGGUGAAUGCUCUUGAAAAUCUCGCAGGAAUUGACAGGACGGACCUGAUACAGACACGGUCCCGAGCUUCUUCUGAAUGUGAUGCAACUUAUCUCCUAAGACAAAGCAGUAUCAAUAGUUUGCUGUAUGAGGAUGCUUCUCUAUCCAUGCCACCAGGGACAGGAUUCAGGAAAAAAGCCUGUUCCUUCCGAAUGAAAGAAGAUAAGGAGUCAAAAAUGCAUCUGGUACCAGAGCGUCAGGGCAGCCUUCACCUUUUAUCCAGCACAAGUCCUCCAGCAACACCAGACUGCAGUCAACUUGCAUUAGACAACGUCAAAAAUGCUUCAGAAAUGAAAUUAGGUCCAGAUAUUGGGAUUUCAGCCAAAGAUGAUGGAAGGCAGGUAGACUCCAAAAGGGAAGAAACUAUUCCAAGUGUAAAUGAAACAGAUGUUAUGUACGGACAGAACAAAUCAGAUUUUCAGAACCCUCAGCUAACAGUGGAAACAACACAGAUAGAAGGCACAAUUUCCUAUCCCAUGGAAGAAGCAAAGUUGACACGCUAUCACCCUGAUGAAACCUUCAGUGCUUUUAAAACCAUGAAGUCCAGAAGCUUUGUAUAUUCCCGUGGACAAAAGCUGGUCCGUGGGGUUAACAACUGGAAUACAGAGUACAGUUCAAUCAGGGACCGAGCACACCCCUCUACAGUUCAGCAGUGGACGACAGAAUGGAAAUAUCAAGUUCAAAAGAUUACACGUUCUCGAAGUACCGACAUCCCUUACAUUGUCUCAGAAGCUGUGAUGCAAGCCGAGCAUAAAGAGCAAUUUACCGAUAUCGAAGAUGAUAACUGUGUGUCUGAAAUGGUCCCUCAAAUCUCUCAUUUAUCUGUAGCCGUAACUGACAGAACUGAGAAGGAAAAUUUACUGUCUGUGAAACCAGACCAAACCAUGGGUUUCCCAUCUCUAAGGUCAAAAAGUUUACAUGGCCAUCCUAGGAAAGCUAGAGCCACUCAGGACAAACUAGACAGAUCAGGACAUGCCUGCAGUGUAAGUAACUUAGCAGUUGUGUCUGGAAUUACGACAGAAGAACAGAAGGCCAAGCAAGAGAAAACUUCCACAGAAACUGAAUGUUGA